rnacentral:rRNA from 1 species
AUUGAACGCUGGCGGCAGGCCUAACACGUGCAAGUCGAGCGGUUGAGGUAGCUUGCUACCGAUGCAGCGGCGGACGGGUGAGUAAUACAUGGGAAUCCGCCUGGUAGUGGGGGACAACGUUUCGAAAGGAACGCUAAUACCGCAUACGCCCUACGGGGGAAAGGGGGGGAUCUUCGGACCUCGCGCUAUCAGAUGCGCCCAUGUCGGAUUAGCUUGUUGGUGAGGUAAAGGCUCACCAAGGCGACGAUCCGUAACUGGUCUGAGAGGAUGAUCAGUCACACUGGAACUGAGACACGGUCCAGACUCCUACGGGAGGCAGCAGUGGGGAAUAUUGGACAAUGGGCGCAAGCCUGAUCCAGCCAUGCCGCGUGUGUGAAGAAGGCCUUAGGGUUGUAAAGCACUUUCAGUGGGGAGAAAGGUCAUUCACCUAAUACGUGAGUGAAUUGAUGUUACCCACAGAAGAAGCACCGGCUAACUCCGUGCCAGCCGCCGCGGUAA